CUUAAUACAAACGGAAUUAU
rnacentral:miRNA from 1 species